GUAGGGGGCAAGCGUUGUCCGGAUUUAUUGGGCGUAAAGCGCUCGCAGGUGGUCCGUCGCGUCGUGCGUGAAAGCCCCCGGCUCAACUGGGGAGUGUCGUGCGAUACGGGCGGGCUGGAGGCCAGUAGGGGGAUGCGGAAUUCCGGGUGUAGUGGUGGAAUGCGUAGAGAUCCGGAGGAACACCAGCGGCGAAGGCGGCAUCCUGGACUGGUCCUGACACUCAUGAGCGAAAGCGUGGGGAGCGAUCCGGAUUAGAUACCCGGGUAGUCCACGCCGUAAACGAUGCGCACUAGGUGUCGGGGGUAUCGACCCCCUCGGUGCCGCAGCUAACGCGAUAAGUGCGCCGCCUGGGGACUACGGCCGCAAGGCUA
rnacentral:rRNA from 1 species